rnacentral:rRNA from 1 species
CCUACGGGUGGCAGCAGUGAGGAAUAUUGGUCAAUGGGCGCGAGUCUGAACCAGCCAAGUAGCGUGAAGGAUGACUGCCCUACGGGUUGUAAACUUCUUUUAUAAAGGAAUAAAGUGAGGCACGUGUGCCUUUUUGUAUGUACUUUAUGAAUAAGGAUCGGCUAACUCCGUGCCAGCAGCCGCGGUAAUACGGAGGAUCCGAGCGUUAUCCGGAUUUAUUGGGUUUAAAGGGUGCGUAGGUGGGCUGUUAAGUCAGUGGUGAAAGUCUGUGGCUCAACCAUAGAAUUGCCGUUGAUACUGGGAGUCUUGAGUAUGUUUGAGGCAGGCGGAAUUCGUGGUGUAGCGGUGAAAUGCUUAGAUAUCACGCAGAACCCCGAUUGCGAAGGCAGCCUACCAAGCCAUGACUGACGCUGAUGCACGAAAGCGUGGGGAUCAAACAGGAUUAGAUACCCUGGUAGUC